rnacentral:rRNA from 1 species
UGGGGGAUAUUGCGCAAUGGGGGCAACCCUGACGCAGCAACGCCGCGUGAAGGAUGAAGGUUUUCGGAUUGUAAACUUCUUUUAUUAAGGACGAAACUUGACGGUACUUAAUGAAUAAGCUCCGGCUAACUACGUGCCAGCAGCCGCGGUAAUACGUAGGGAGCAAGCGUUGUCCGGAUUUACUGGGUGUAAAGGGUGCGUAGGCGGCUUUGCAAGUCAGAUGUGAAAUCUAUGGGCUCAACCCAUAAACUGCAUUUGAAACUGUAGAGCUUGAGUGAAGUAGAGGCAGGCGGAAUUCACCGUGUAGCGGUGAAAUGCGUAGAGAUGGGGAGGAACACCAGUGGCGAAGGCGGACUGCUGGGCUUUAACUGACGCUGAGGCACGAAAGCGUGGGUAGCAAACAGGA